AAAGAAACCAACCGGGAUUGCCCCAGUAACGGCGAGUGAAGCGGCAAGAGCUCAAAUUUGAAAUCUGGCCCCUCCGGGGUCCGAGUUGUAAUUUGCAGAGGAUGCUUCGGGUGCGGCCCCCGUCUAAGUGCCCUGGAACGGGCCGUCAGAGAGGGUGAGAAUCCCGUCUUGGGCGGGGUGUCCGUGCCCGUGUGAAGCUCCUUCGACGAGUCGAGUUGUUUGGGAAUGCAGCUCUAAAUGGGUGGUAAAUUUCAUCUAAAGCUAAAUACUGGCCGGAGACCGAUAGCGCACAAGUAGAGUGAUCGAAAGAUGAAAAGCACUUUGAAAAGAGAGUUAAACAGCACGUGAAAUUGUUGAAAGGGAAGCGCUUGCGACCAGACUCGCCCGCGGGGUUCAGCCGGCACUCGUGCCGGUGUACUUCCCCGUGGGCGGGCCAGCGUCGGUUUGGGCGGCCGGUCAAAGGCCUCCGGAAUGUAUCGCCCUCCGGGGCGUCUUAUAGCCGGGGGUGCAAUGCGGCCAGCCCGGACCGAGGAACGCGCUUCGGCACGGACGCUGGCAUAAUGGUCGUAAACGAC
rnacentral:rRNA from 1 species